AUUGAACGCUGGCGGCAUGCUUUACACAUGCAAGUCGAACGGUAACAGGCCGCAAGGUGCUGACGAGUGGCGAACGGGUGAGUAAUGCAUCGGAACGUGCCCAGUCGUGGGGGAUAACUACUCGAAAGAGUAGCUAAUACCGCAUACGAUCUAUGGAUGAAAGCGGGGGACCGUAAGGCCUCGCGCGAUUGGAGCGGCCGAUGUCAGAUUAGGUAGCUGGUGGGGUAAAGGCUCACCAAGCCAACGAUCUGUAGCUGGUCUGAGAGGACAACCAGCCACACUGGGACUGAGACACGGCCCAGACUCCUACGGGAGGCAGCAGUGGGGAAUUUUGGACAAUGGGCGCAAGCCUGAUCCGGCAAUGCCGCGUGCAGGAAGAAGGCCUUGGGUUGUAAACUGCUUUUGUACGGAACGAAACGGCUCUGGUUAAUACCCGGGGCUAAUGACGGUACCGUAAGAAUAAGCACCGGCUAACUACGUG
rnacentral:rRNA from 1 species